UUAAGGGGAAAGUCACUCCAAACUCCAGUUGCAUGACAAAAUAAAAUUAUAUGCAUGGACUAGGCCUGAAAGCUCACUUUCAUUCAUGACAGGCUCUGUCACAAAUCCUUUUAUCAGUACUCCCACUGGAAAUAUAUAUUGGGAUGCUGCAUGUCCUCUACUGCUAUUUUCAUGACAACUACAUAAUUACUACAACACUCUGCAAAACUUUACAACCUGUAGGAGUUUUGAGUAAACUUCCAUCAGUUUGUUAAAUCCAAUUUUCUAAACAUCUAUCACUAAAAUUCAACAUACAAAUGAACUUAUUUACUUGCCAAGAGAUUCAGUAUUGAAUUUCCUGAGUUUUCUUUAGGUGUUCUCUAGCCUUGAACAGACGGUAAAUGUUGACAACAAAAAGCAUCAACUUUGGAGAUGGGAAGAAGGAACUCUGCCAAAAGCAACAAGCAUGGGAAAACACAAAGCCUUCUGCUAGGAAGGAAACCCUGCUACUAGGAUUGUCUACAGCCCUUUCAAUCUAAAACUGAAAUUUACUGUUCCACAACUAAGCAGUUCUUUUAAAUGUUUCUUUUUAUGGCUUAAUAUGGGACCAGAAGCAGGUGCCAUGGGACUUAAGUCACCAUUUGUAGUAAUCCAGUAGUGAAAAGCAAAAUGACAACCACAUUGCAGAGAGACCCGAAGUCAGGUAAGAGUCCGAUGCAAUUGUUGGGUUUUUUUAGCUUCCUCUGGUGCUGCUCUCUCAGGUUGCUUUUUUUUUUUUUUUUCCUAGAACAAUACAGCAAACAACAUUAAUAUUGAGGAAGCUGGCUUCAUGACUGAACUGAAACGGAUUCUUUUCCAAAAGCAGAAUUUCAGGUGGCUGCUACCACUCCCUGGAGCUCCGAUCUGUAGCUCUCCUGCCUUCCACUCCACUCUUACCAGGGUCUUUGGAGCUCUUCACAGCCCAGAUCCUCCAGUUCCCCUUACACCCUGCCACCACUCUAGCUCCCUUUGCUUAGUUCAUGCAUCGUUUGUUUUAGCGUUCUUUACUUUUCCUGCUGGGAUCCUAAUAACCCCUCCUGCAUCCACCGCAGAUACCCAUUCUGAGUACACUCCUUCCCGUGACGCUUCACAGUACUGACACAGAAGGUUUGUAUUCAUCAGGCCUUCAGUGAAGUGUCUGGAGCACAGUGUUUGGAUACACCUGCUCACACCAGGAAUCAAAAUACUCAUUCUGCUGAAGACUAGUGGAAUUUUCCCAUGCAAUGCAACGAAGCCGACAUUUCUCCCUGCUGCUCCCAGCAUUACCCCCUGUACUGCUUAGUCCUCUAUUCCACCGGCACUGCAGACCACCCUGUACGUGCUCUGCGACAACAAAUACUGUCAAUACUAAAGCAAAGAAGUUCUCAAAAGGGAGCGAUCUGGUAACAGGGACAUGUAUUCUUUGGAUUUCAGGCUUUUAGGCAAACUGGCUUCAAUUCACUGACUGGUCAGCUGUACCUCCAAAGGAAGUACAGGAUGGAGUGUUGGCAAGUGCGACGCAGACUGUCAAGCACAGCAACACUGUGUAUUUGUCGCUGGUCGGCUCCUGCGUGAACAAUGAUUCAACUGUUCCCUGCCACUUUUUCCACGCUGGAGCAGAGUAUGCAGUAGAAGGUUACAGAAGGUGUUUGGUUUUUUUUUCUGAAGGUGACAAUGCUUUUACCCUCGUAGCUAACCAGGCUCCUACGGAAUAAUACUGCACGCUGGUGUGACUCGAGGAAUCCUGUGAAUGUCAGCAGUGUUGAUAAACAGUAAUCAGGCUGUUGAUUUAGUAGUAUCAAGCGCUGAAUACCUCAGAGGUAUGUUAAUACAAGGCGGUGCUGAUCAGCAGAUAGCAAAACUGAUAAACACUGUGGUUAGCAGACACAGUACAGGCACUGCUGGUACCAUUGCAUUUACUUCUAUUUGUAUAGCUUGUGUUGCUGAGAGCAAAGAGCCUGGCUCUCUCGCCAUACAUCAUGAGCUAUAAAACCACAAGAGAACCCUCAGAAUCAAAGCAAUACAGAGAUACCAAACAAAAACGUACCAGGCUUUGAUAAAGUUAACCUUGAGUUGUUUUAGAGAAGCAGUAUGGAAACUGAUUCAGACUACUUAUACUAAGCUUAACAGUGAAGUUAUUUGGUUCCUUUCCUAAGAAGGACGCAAGAGCUCCAGCAGUUCUUUAAAUAGAACUCUUCCUGCGACAUACAUAAAAAAUGAACAUAGGUGGAAGAAGCAGUUUCAGCAACACCAGAACCAAAGAGGCUUUUAGAGCAUUUGUUUUUCUUCUGUUUUCCAAGAUUUUCCUUAGCAUGUAAUAAGGUACAGAAUCAUAGAAUAGUCUAUGUUGGGAGGGACCUUUAAAAGGUCACCUAGUCCAACCCCGCUGCGUUAGGCAGGGCCAUCUUCAGCUGGGUCAGGUUCAACCCUGAACUUGAAUGUUUCCAGGGAUGCUGCACCUACCACCUCUCUGGGCAACCUGUUCCCAUGUUUGAACACCUUUGUGGUAAAAGAUGUCUUCUUUAUAUCGAGUCUAAACCUACCCUCUUUUAGUUUAAAACCAUUACCCCUUGUCCUGUUGCAACAGGUCCUGCUAGAAGGUUUGUCCCCAUCUAAGUACUGAAAGGCUGCAAUAAAGUGUCCCUGGAGCCUUCUCCAGGCUGAACAACUCGAAUUCUCUCAGCCUGUCCUCACAGGAGAGAGGUGUUCCAUCCUUCUGAUAAUUUUCAGGGCUCCUUCUGCAACUAUUUGCACAGGUAAGACAUCCUGCCCACUCCUUUAACACCUAUAUGUGAACCUGCAGGAACGGUUUUGCCUUUUGAGGCUCCUGCUGUCUGUCAAAUUUGGUCACGGGCAAGCAACAGGUUCAAAAGUUGUCUGGGAAACGUACGCAAACAGCACGAUCUCACAGGCCUUUUGACUCCUUUCAUUAAUUCUUUUUAACUACAAGGUCACUAGAGACUUCAGCAAGGAGUCUACAAGACUUAAGAGAUUCCAAGUCUCUGUGUACCACUGGGCAAUUUUUAUUACAAAAAAUACCUCUUCAUUGCCUUCCUCACCUCUGCUUCCUUACUGCAUCAUCUGCUGACUCUCCCCUGUGUUGAACGGUACCACUACCACAAGCAGGUAUUUUUAGUAGUCUUUAAUGAAAUGUACUAGUUAGGAAUAAUAGCAAAUGAAGAUGAUGCAACCAUCCAGCUCUCAGUAUGGAAAUCUCUACAGUGGGUAACAUGCACUCUAAGGUAAUAAAACCAGUCACUAUUCCAUUUAGCAGCAAUAUUACUGGGGGGCAUUUAUAUAGUAAACUGGCCUUUUUUACAUACCUUGUGUUGGGGGUCCAUUUCAUUCAGAUAAGCAACUGGUAACUGUAGAUCAGCCACAGUUACACACACACACACACAACGUCAUUCUGUCCUCAUUUUAUCCUUCCUUUUUCUAAAGCCCACUUGUGGUAAUCCUGAAGGAACGGCCAAAUCAAGUGAUACAAACGUCUAACCUCACUUAGAGCAGUUCUCAGUGGGGUUCUUCCACAAAAAAACAAUAAUGCAUCUUUAAAAAAGUUCCGCAACAUGCACAAAGCAGCCCUUUGUAUUUAGGAAUUUCAAGGUAUUGAUUAUGGAACAUGUCCCUCUUAGCAGGCCGUUUAGGGAGCGUACCAGUUUCACAGGUGAGGAUGCUGGAACAGAAAAGUUAACAGACUAGCCCAAAUUCAAGUGACAAAUCAGUGCCUGAUGCAGGCCAGGGCCAAGCGUAACUGAAGUGCCUGGCCAUCCCCUGAACAGCCAACAGAAACCGGUCACUCUCUGCUGAAAACUUUUGCCUCAACAUUUCCAUAGCCUGGAGUUUGAUGCUGUAAUUCUGCUGUAAACUUUCUGCCACCUUUAGUGCGUAUUCACAUGCUCUGGGCACAUCUCAGUCCAGUCUCUCAAAUACGUCGGGGUAUAUGGGGAAGCUCCAAGUCUCAUUUCCUUUUGUAAACGUUGGCCUCGUGUUUUUCCCUCGGUCGUAACUAUACAGUCCAGUACUCUGCACAUACUUCAUCGCUGUCUCUGUAUCUGUCCUGGAAGUGAUCCCAAAGUGCCUCAGUGCAGCUACACAGGACAUAUUCCCAGAGACAGCGGGCAGUCACACGAACACGAACUGCACCGUUCCCUGCGGGAACCCUUGGGUGCAGAUAAAAGCCUAAACCACAGGAGUAAUUUUGAGACGCCCACUUCCAAUAUGCAGCAGAGAGAGUAUGAAAUAGAAUAUUCCUGCCCUUCUCUGGAAAGUUCAAAAUACCUGCGGGAUGGGAUUUGCAAGGUCAUUAUAAAGGGCUAACAGUAACAGCAAUGUGUUAAGGUCAGUAGAAAAUCGACACGCCAAUUCCUCUGCAACAAAAACACUGCAAAGAUUCAUGUCCUUAACGUUCCAUGAAUAGGAUCUGCUUACAGUAGUGCAACCCGUGGAGCUCGCCAGUGUCACUCACAGUUGUAGGACUCAUCCUUUUCACUUCUCAUCUCAAACUAACCAUACCCAUUAUUUGCAUUCACACAAGGUACAUGUCUAAUAUCCUUCUCUUCUUCCUCCCCAAAACUCUUUUGUGCCGAACAAGUAAAUCUCUGUUCUUGGAAAGCUGAUUUGGUCAUUAGAUAGCCUUGUUAUCUUUCCUUGGAGACUAGGCCUCCAGGGCUUAUCUGACAUCAGAUGGGCUGAAGUGAUCCUGGUGACAAACAAGGAGCUACAGCCCGUGGCUUCAGAUUGGAAGAAACAAUUAAUAAGAACAUGCUGAAGAAAGAUGAUGAUCAGAGCCUUCGGAGUUGAGCAAACUGCUUGAAAGCACAAGAGAUCAAGAUACUUUUGCAGUUCAUCCAUUUCAGAAAUGCCAGAGGAAAUUCAAGGUUAACAGGUUAAAACAGCUGCUUCGGCAAGUUGAAAAGUGAACGUGACGUAAUGGAGGUUUUGAGCCUACACUUCUGUUUGUUUAGAAGAAUCUCUGACAAAAUCCGUAAGUAAAAUGAUUAAUCAUCUCUUCUGAGCUAGUCAGGUAACCUCAGUAACCCAAAAAGGAUCAUCUUGCCCAAUACAAUGCCAAAGCAGAAUACCUGGCCUUGUUAAGUUGUGGUUGUUUUGUCUUUAAUAAAAUACCAUUCACAGGCUUUAUAGGUGCUUGCAACGUUUUUAUUUGAGCUUUUCUGCUUUCUUCAUGAUAUGCAGAGAGGACCUGAGCAGCUCCCAUUAAGCACAAUGUAAAACCUGAAAACACAUGUCCAGUGAAACUUCCCCCAUGGUGUACUUCUGCUUCAUUGUUACUACAGAUAAGGACAAAGAAAUAAGUUGUUCAGGAAGAGGGGGGCACAGACCCACCCACCACCCACGAGGAUUUUUGCAAAUAUUCAGACAAACGUGAAAAAGAAAGUAUUUGUUGUCAGACUGUAUAAACCUGACCACUUCAUUGACCUUCCAUUCUUACACAUGGAGAGUUCUCCACUGCCACCUGGGUCACUAGACUGCACUGUCAUUAAGUGCUCCAGACAGUAUCAUCUUGAUAAUCCAAACGACUUCUGAAUUAUAUUUUCACUUGUAUGAUUUAAAUAAACAAAUGCAAGCCUUAAUACACCAUCUUCUUAAUACGCUUAGUAAAACAAGCUUAUUUCAAAGACGUUUUAUAGGGGGAUCAUUUAGGAGAAAGGUCUACAUCCCAUUACCGAGGCAACUUAAUUUUUGUUUCACUUGCGGUGGGAUUGAAAUGAUUUCACGCGCUGCUGCUACUGCCUCCCAAGCACAUUCUGCGAGCACAAAGGUGCCUUCCUGAACCACCUGAAGUGGCAGCCUAGAGACCUCAGUUGCAGUAUACGCAUUUCAGCAUCCCUCAAAAGGCAUUUUUGAGCAAAGCACAUUAGACCUGAUCUCUGGAACCUGCGGAUCUUAAAACUAUCCUCAGAUCUUCUAACCUACCUAAGCCUUAACCUGCUUUCAGCUGGUUUAACUUGGCAAUGCAGAAGAACAAACAAAAGCCUGGCAGUAAGGGGAGAACAUAAUAUUUGCAAGCUAAAUAUCAUUCAGUCACAAAGUGACUGACAAAUCAUACAAUAAAGGUGAAGUCAGAUAUCAAAGGCACAAACUAAACUACACUGAAUGCAAGCCAGCUCUUUAAACUGUUAAUCCAUCAUUUGUUAGCAAUGCAGCAAACAAGUUAAUUAAUCCAAGCUGUCAUUUGCUUUUACGGCUUUAGCCUGUCAGGACUUUAUAUUUCAAGCUUCCAAACCACCCUGGCCUUAAAUAUUCCACCAAUCUAGCAGUCUGCACAGAAGAGGUCAUUUAUUCUGAAACACACUGCUUUCCUGGAGAAGUAAAACAUACCACAGCCUAUCUAAAUAGGUGAUGGUAUGUGCAAGGAUGCUGUUUGUGCAUUAACUAGCUUGCAAAUAGGAAAGGCUGGGAUACAGGCAGCGUGCCAGCCCCCAGGUUACAGAAACCACUUCGAGACAGCUGAAACUUGCUGGAGACGUUCUGCCACAACUGCUAGAAUCUGGACACUGUUUGAAUAUGUGCGUCUAUACAUCUCUGGAGCUAAGGACCACAACCCGCAGUUUUUAUUGCGGAUACGUAGAGGAAAGCAUCCUGUUGUACCUUGCAAGACUGAAAUAGCAAAGCUACCCGUGCUUUCAUAAACGUAUCCUUUGACAAAUCUUAGCCUCGUGUCACGCUUUCUGGUUAGAUGUUUCUACGAGAGGGGUUUUUUCAUUUUUCUAUAAUAAAAUAGAAACCAGAAGUUAUCUUAGAUUCAGCUGGAUCCCCAGCAGAAAGCAGCAGGACCUUUGUCACAAGGCAGCCUCCCAUCCAGCCUUUUCAGUAGUCCAAAGUGCACUCGUUUAGUGGGCAACUGAAAGACUAAGAUGGUAUUUACCUCAUAUGACUCCAGAGACACUGGCUGCCAAACCCAGUGGUUAAUGCUUUCCAUUUAAAAUACGGCCCUUUUUUCAGGUGGGUAUCUGUACGCGUUUUAAAAUUUGGUACGUUAAGGCUCUGUUCAAGAGGCACGUACACACCGAAGCGAGUACAGCGAAGGAUAAUGAAGAUGAUUAAGGGACUGGAGUGCUUGUACAAGGGGAGGCUGAGAGUGCUGCAGGUGUUCAGCCUGGGGAAGACAAGCUGCAGAGGGGAAUCUUACGUGUGUAAAUACUCGACAGGAGGAAGAUCACAAGGCCAGACUCUUCUCAGCAAAAGCACCCAGCAAAAGGGUAAAAAAAAGCGGGAACUAACUGAAACACAGGAAAUUCAAUUUAAACCUAAGAAAAAGGGGUUUUUUUCUGGGCAGGUGGUCAAAUGCUAGAACAGGGUGGCUAGAGAUUGUAGUUUCCAUCCACGGUCCUGAGCAACCUGCUCUGGUUGACCCUGCUUUGAGCUGCAGAGCUGGACUAGACAUUCUCUACAAAACCUUUCCAACCCCAACGCUUCAGCAACCCAGUUCAGUGUAAGGCAGUGAAGACAUGGCUCAUCCAGUUCAAAUUUAGUAACAAGCAAAUAAUCCCUUAUUAGGGGACACACUGUAUUUCUAGUUUUAUGAAUGCCUAUUAACAGAAGCAGUAAUAAUCAGAGUUUCAGCUAAAGAAAUGUAUAUUAAACAUUAGAAAGAAUAUUUAUAGUUAAAAAAACACACAUCCUGAAUAGCUUUAUCUAGGUUACUGAAUCUCUCCAAGGAGAUUUCCAAGAAUGGUGUGGCUGAUCCUGCCAGGUGUGGGACACAGCAGAUAGCUGCUCAAGCCCAUUCCAGUCCAGCUUUUUGGAUCUCUGCUAAAAACAUGUAUGAUAUUGUCCAGGACAAACUGCUAGGUAAAACUAGGCUCUUACAGGUACAGACAUACUUAAAUACUAAUACUCUAAGAAAUCAAAGAGAUGUCUGAAUGUCUCCUUCAUGUAGGAGCGUUUCUGGAGACACUUCCACUUAGAAGAGGCACAAGACACUGAGAAGCUGACGUUGAAAGCACAGAGCAUUUUACAAUCAAAGACGUCUCCUUAAGGCUUAGUGUUUAUUCUGAAAGUACUCUAGAAAACUUGUAAGACUGUCUUUCUGUAUAGUCUGAGCUAAGGACAAAAGAACACUACUUUGGCUCCCCAAUGAGUAGAACAAAAUCCAGUACAGAAUUAAGGUCACUUUGGUUAAACUGUGCAUCAGUUACUGCAUGUUUCCAAGAGAAGCACUCAGAAAAGUAUCAAUAAAAUUGUAAUAGCAUUGUUACAUCUUUAUUUGCACAACUAUAGCACACUUUGCAUUACUAGUUACUAUAUAUAUUUAAUGGAGGAGUGUUUUCACAUCUAGCUGCUGUUUUGCUUAAGAAAUGUUCUUCCAAA